rnacentral:rRNA from 1 species
ACUAAGCGUACACGGUGGAUGCCCUGGCAGUCAGAGGCGAUGAAGGACGUGCUAAUCUGCGAUAAGCGUCGGUAAGGUGAUAUGAACCGUUAUAACCGGCGAUUUCCGAAUGGGGAAACCCAGUGUGUUUCGACACACUAUCAUUAACUGAAUCCAUAGGUUAAUGAGGCGAACCGGGGGAACUGAAACAUCUAAGUACCCCGAGGAAAAGAAAUCAACCGAGAUUCCCCCAGUAGCGGCGAGCGAACGGGGAGCAGCCCAGAGCCUGAAUCAGUAUGUGUGUUAGUGGAAGCGUCUGGAAAGGCGCGCGAUACAGGGUGACAGCCCCGUACACAAAAAUGCACAUGCUGUGAGCUCGAUGAGUAGGGCGGGACACGUGGUAUCCUGUCUGAAUAUGGGGGGACCAUCCUCCAAGGCUAAAUACUCCUGACUGACCGAUAGUGAACCAGUACCGUGAGGGAAAGGCGAAAAGAACCCCGGCGAGGGGAGUGAAAAAGAACCUGAAACCGUGUACGUACAAGCAGUGGGAGCACAGAGCAAUCUGUGUGACUGCGUACCUUUUGUAUAAUGGGUCAGCGACUUAUAUUCUGUAGCAAGGUUAACCGAAUAGGGGAGCCGAAGGGAAACCGAGUCUUAACUGGGCGUUAAGUUGCAGGGUAUAGACCCGAAACCCGGUGAUCUAGCCAUGGGCAGGUUGAAGGUUGGGUAACACUAACUGGAGGACCGAACCGACUAAUGUUGAAAAAUUAGCGGAUGACUUGUGGCUGGGGGUGAAAGGCCAAUCAAACCGGGAGAUAGCUGGUUCUCCCCGAAAGCUAUUUAGGUAGCGCCUCGUGAAUUCAUCUCCGGGGGUAGAGCACUGUUUCGGCAAGGGGGUCAUCCCGACUUACCAACCCGAUGCAAACUGCGAAUACCGGAGAAUGUUAUCACGGGAGACACACGGCGGGUGCUAACGUCCGUCGUGAAGAGGGAAACAACCCAGACCGCCAGCUAAGGUCCCAAAGUCAUGGUUAAGUGGGAAACGAUGUGGGAAGGCCCAGACAGCCAGGAUGUUGGCUUAGAAGCAGCCAUCAUUUAAAGAAAGCGUAAUAGCUCACUGGUCGAGUCGGCCUGCGCGGAAGAUGUAACGGGGCUAAACCAUGCACCGAAGCUGCGGCAGCGACGCUUAUGCGUUGUUGGGUAGGGGAGCGUUCUGUAAGCCUGUGAAGGUGUGCUGUGAGGUAUGCUGGAGGUAUCAGAAGUGCGAAUGCUGACAUAAGUAACGAUAAAGCGGGUGAAAAGCCCGCUCGCCGGAAGACCAAGGGUUCCUGUCCAACGUUAAUCGGGGCAGGGUGAGUCGACCCCUAAGGCGAGGCCGAAAGGCGUAGUCGAUGGGAAACAGGUUAAUAUUCCUGUACUUGGUGUUACUGCGAAGGGGGGACGGAGAAGGCUAUGUUGGCCGGGCGACGGUUGUCCCGGUUUAAGCGUGUAGGCUGGUUUUCCAGGCAAAUCCGGAAAAUCAAGGCUGAGGCGUGAUGACGAGGCACUACGGUGCUGAAGCAACAAAUGCCCUGCUUCCAGGAAAAGCCUCUAAGCAUCAGGUAACAUCAAAUCGUACCCCAAACCGACACAGGUGGUCAGGUAGAGAAUACCAAGGCGCUUGAGAGAACUCGGGUGAAGGAACUAGGCAAAAUGGUGCCGUAACUUCGGGAGAAGGCACGCUGAUAUGUAGGUGAAGCGACUUGCUCGUGGAGCUGAAAUCAGUCGAAGAUACCAGCUGGCUGCAACUGUUUAUUAAAAACACAGCACUGUGCAAACACGAAAGUGGACGUAUACGGUGUGACGCCUGCCCGGUGCCGGAAGGUUAAUUGAUGGGGUCAGCGCAAGCGAAGCUCUUGAUCGAAGCCCCGGUAAACGGCGGCCGUAACUAUAACGGUCCUAAGGUAGCGAAAUUCCUUGUCGGGUAAGUUCCGACCUGCACGAAUGGCGUAAUGAUGGCCAGGCUGUCUCCACCCGAGACUCAGUGAAAUUGAACUCGCUGUGAAGAUGCAGUGUACCCGCGGCAAGACGGAAAGACCCCGUGAACCUUUACUAUAGCUUGACACUGAACAUUGAGCCUUGAUGUGUAGGAUAGGUGGGAGGCUUUGAAGUGUGGACGCCAGUCUGCAUGGAGCCGACCUUGAAAUACCACCCUUUAAUGUUUGAUGUUCUAACGUUGACCCGUAAUCCGGGUUGCGGACAGUGUCUGGUGGGUAGUUUGACUGGGGCGGUCUCCUCCUAAAGAGUAACGGAGGAGCACGAAGGUUGGCUAAUCCUGGUCGGACAUCAGGAGGUUAGUGCAAUGGCAUAAGCCAGCUUGACUGCGAGCGUGACGGCGCGAGCAGGUGCGAAAGCAGGUCAUAGUGAUCCGGUGGUUCUGAAUGGAAGGGCCAUCGCUCAACGGAUAAAAGGUACUCCGGGGAUAACAGGCUGAUACCGCCCAAGAGUUCAUAUCGACGGCGGUGUUUGGCACCUCGAUGUCGGCUCAUCACAUCCUGGGGCUGAAGUAGGUCCCAAGGGUAUGGCUGUUCGCCAUUUAAAGUGGUACGCGAGCUGGGUUUAGAACGUCGUGAGACAGUUCGGUCCCUAUCUGCCGUGGGCGCUGGAGAACUGAGGGGGGCUGCUCCUAGUACGAGAGGACCGGAGUGGACGCAUCACUGGUGUUCGGGUUGUCAUGCCAAUGGCACUGCCCGGUAGCUAAAUGCGGAAGAGAUAAGUGCUGAAAGCAUCUAAGCACGAAACUUGCCCCGAGAUGAGUUCUCCCUGACUCCUUGAGAGUCCUGAAGGAACGUUGAAGACGACGACGUUGAUAGGCCGGGUGUGUAAGCGCAGCGAUGCGUUGAGCUAACCGGUACUAAUGAACCGUGAGGCUUAACC